GGGAGGCUUUGGACCAAGUCGGUACAUGCAUGCGGGGUGGGGCUGGAAAGAUAGAUUGGCCUAUGGGAACUUAGAAGAAGAAAGCGGGGGAGAAAGAUGUUAGUGGAGGGAAGGUGGGGAAACACAUUGGAGAAACAGUACCGAAAGUGGGUUUCUUGAGGCAGGAAGAGCUGUUGAAAUAGAAGAACUCCUCUGUUGCAUUUAGAGCAAAGGGACAUUUGUGAGCUGUGUGGGAAGCCCAUGUGAGGGUGGGGAGUACCACCAUCUUAGAGGUGAAGCUGGAAAAACGUGGUGAGAUGGAUUCAUACUGUACAAGAUGUGAGGAAUAUCCUUUUUAUCACAAGAAAGACUAUGAGAAUCCACCAAUGGAGGAGUGGCUAUUCACAAAGUCUUUCAGGGCUGGGUGUUUAUUCAAGUCCUUAAGCCAUCUGGAACUGUGGGCUGGACUUGGACAUCCUCUUCCUUGGAGCUCUUCCCCCUUUUCCCUUCCAAGAUGGACAGUGGAAGAUUCAGUAAACAUUAUUACUGUUUCGAUCUGAUGGGAUUCUGGGAGAGAGACACCUGGUUAAGUUCACACCCGUGAUUAUCAUUUUUACUGAGAGAACCAUGCCAUGGAACUCAAGAUGCUCCUACUGACAUGUGUGACUAUCUCCAUAUCCACAAGUAGAACUAAUGUGAUCAGGCCUCCCUGCCUUUCUAGAUUCUGGUAUGUAUCAAAGUAUGUAAGCGAUGUCUUGAAAAAUAAAUUUAUACUAUGAAGAUAUGACA
rnacentral:lncRNA from 1 species